CGAGAUACCACUCUUCACCAAAUCUCAUUUCCUCUGCACAACUCAACCUCCUCCACCCACGAAUCAUCUUCACUUCACCCCACCUCGUGACCAUCGAAGGAAAGGAGAGUGAGAGGGACGUAGCUUCGGUAUCAUCGACAAGAAAAGAAAAGGAGGAAAACCGCGAGCUGAAGUAUUUUUCUGGUUUGUCCGUGAGUUGAUGGAGAGAUCUGAGAGCCAAACUUCAUCCAAUCCAGCCGCAAGUUUGAGCAAAGGAGAGGAAGAUUUGCGGGCUGCAAUUUCUGGAUAGCCGAGAGGAAGAAAAUUUUGCAGCUGAUUGUCGUGUGAGCUAAACCUUAAGCUGAGGAUAUUUCGAGGACGCGGAAUUCGAUUCCCAACUUGAUAUCUGAACUCCACUCUUGGUCCUGGAAACUGAAAGCCUUGAACUUACUUAUGUUUCUUUUCUUUUGGAUGUAAUGGAUAUUACGGCUAUUGUGUGGGUUGUAUUAUGCUUCAACUUGAAUUAUGUACUUU